CCUACGGGUGGCUGCAGUGGGGAAUAUUGGACAAUGGGCGAAAGCCUGAUCCAGCCAUGCCGCGUGUGUGAAGAAGGCCUUCGGGUUGUAAAGCACUUUCAGUGGGGAAGAAAGCCUUGGGGCUAAUACCCUCGAGGAAGGACAUCACCCACAGAAGAAGCACCGGCUAACUCCGUGCCAGCAGCCGCGGUAAUACGGAGGGUGCGAGCGUUAAUCGGAAUUACUGGGCGUAAAGCGCGCGUAGGCGGUCUGAUAAGCCGGUUGUGAAAGCCCCGGGCUCAACCUGGGAACGGCAUCCGGAACUGUCAGGCUAGAGUGCAGGAGAGGAAGGUAGAAUUCCCGGUGUAGCGGUGAAAUGCGUAGAGAUCGGGAGGAAUACCAGUGGCGAAGGCGGUCUUCUGGACUGACACUGACGCUGAGGUGCGAAAGCGUGGGUAGCAAACAGGAUUAGACACCCCGGUAGUC
rnacentral:rRNA from 1 species